UCCUCGGUAGUAUAUCGGCUAGUACACCCGCCUGUCAUUUGAAUGACAAAAUACUUACUCGCGCGGGAGAGCGGGGUUCGACUCCCCGCCGAGGAG